UCGGGUAUGGUGUAACGGCUAACAUUGCCGCCUCUCAUCAUUCGAGUAGUCCGCGGCAGCUCGGGGUUCGAUUCCCCGUACCCGAA
rnacentral:tRNA from 1 species